rnacentral:rRNA from 1 species
GACGAACGCUGGCAGCGUGCUUAACACAUGCAAGUCGAACGGAAAGGCCCUGCUUUUGUGGGGUGCUCGAGUGGCGAACGGGUGAGUAACACGUGAGUAACCUGCCCUUGACUUUGGGAUAACUUCAGGAAACUGGGGCUAAUACCGGAUAGGAGCUCCUGCUGCAUGGUGGGGGUUGGAAAGUUUCGGCGGUUGGGGAUGGACUCGCGGCUUAUCAGCUUGUUGGUGGGGUAGUGGCUUACCAAGGCUUUGACGGGUAGCCGGCCUGAGAGGGUGACCGGCCACAUUGGGACUGAGAUACGGCCCAGACUCCUACGGGAGGCAGCAGUGGGGAAUAUUGCACAAUGGGCGGAAGCCUGAUGCAGCAACGCCGCGUGCGGGAUGACGGCCUUCGGGUUGUAAACCGCUUUCGCCUGUGACGAAGCGUGAGUGACGGGAAUGGGUAAAGAAGCACCGGCUAACUACGUGCCAGCAGCCGCGGUGAUACGUAGGGUGCGAGCGUUGUCCGGAUUUAUUGGGCGUAAAGGGCUCGUAGGUGGUUGAUCGCGUCGGAAGUGUAAUCUUGGGGCUUAACCCUGAGCGUGCUUUCGAUACGGGUUGACUUGAGGAAGGUAGGGGAGAAUGGAAUUCCUGGUGGAGCGGUGGAAUGCGCAGAUAUCAGGAGGAACACCAGUGGCGAAGGCGGUUCUCUGGGCCUUUCCUGACGCUGAGGAGCGAAAGCGUGGGGAGCGAACAGGCUUAGAUACCCUGGUAGUCCGCGCUGUAAACGGUGGGUACUAGGUGUGGGGUCCAUUCCACGGGUUCCGUGCCGUAGCUAACGCUUUAAGUACCCCGCCUGGGGAGUACGGCCGCAAGGCUAAAACUCAAAGGAAUUGACGGGGCCCCGCACAAGCGGCGGAGCAUGCGGAUUAAUUCGAUGCAACGCGUAGAACCUUACCUGGGUUUGACAUGGAUCGGGAGUGCUCAGAGAUGGGUGUGCCUCUUUUGGGGUCGGUUCACAGGUGGUGCAUGGCUGUCGUCAGCUCGUGUCGUGAGAUGUUGGGUUAAGUCCCGCAACGAGCGCAACCCUUGUUCACUGUUGCCAGCACGUUAUGGUGGGGACUCAGUGGAGACCGCCGGGGUCAACUCGGAGGAAGGUGGGGAUGACGUCAAGUCAUCAUGCCCCUUAUGUCCAGGGCUUCACGCAUGCUACAAUGGCUGGUACAGAGAGUGGCGAGCCUGUGAGGGUGAGCGAAUCUCGGAAAGCCGGUCUCAGUUCGGAUUGGGGUCUGCAACUCGACCUCAUGAAGUCGGAGUCGCUAGUAAUCGCAGAUCAGCAACGCUGCGGUGAAUACGUUCCCGGGGCU